rnacentral:rRNA from 1 species
CUGGAGCGGCCGAUAUCUGAUUAGCUAGUUGGUAGGGUAAAAGCCUACCGGCAUCGAUCAGUAGCUGGUCUGAGAGGACGACCAGCCACACUGGAACUGAGACACGGCAGACUCCUACGGGAGGCAGCAGUGGGGAAUUUUGGACAAUGGGCGCAAGCCUGAUCCCAAUGCCGCGUGAGUGAAGAAGGCCUUCGGGUUGUAAAGCUCUUUUGUCAGGGAAGAAGGCUACGGAUAAUACCUGUGGCUCAUGACGGUACCUGAAGAAUAAGCACCGGCUAACUGUGCCAGCAGCCGCGGUAAUACGUAGGGUGCAAGCGUUAAUCGGAAUUACUGGGCGUAGCGUGCGCAGGCGGUUUUGUAAGACUGUCGUGAAAUCCCCGGGCUCAACCUGGGAAUGGAUGGUGACUGCAAGGCUAGAGUUUGGCAGAGGGGGGUAGAAUUCCACGUGUAGCAGUAAUGCGUAGAUAUGUGGAGGAACACCGAUGGCGAAGGCAGCCCCCUGGGUCAAAACUGGCUCAUGCACGAAAGCGUGGGGAGCAAACAGGAUUAGAUACCCUGGUAGUCCACGCCCAACGAUGUCUACUAGUUGUCGGGUCUUAAUUGACUUGGUAACGCAGCUAACGCGUGAA